rnacentral:rRNA from 1 species
AUGGCUAACGUCAACGACGGCGAGGGCAAGGCGGCGCCGGUGGUGCUCAUCACGGGGUGCGCCGAGGGUGGCAUCGGCUACGAGUACUGUCGUGCCUUUGCCGCCCUCGGCUGCCGUGUCGUCGCCACCGACAUCCCUGACCGCGUGCCGGACCUCGCCGGCCUCGAUGAGACCGUCGUCGUUGAUCGCCUCCCGCUCGACGUCACCAACGAGGCCAGCGUGACCGACGCCGUGUCACGCGUGCUGCGCGACCACGGACGCAUCGACGUGCUCGUCAACAACGCCGGGAUCGGCUGCACGGGCCCGCUGGCGGAGCUGAGCAGCGAGGCCGUGCGGCGCACCAUGGACGUGAACUUCCUCGGCCAGCUGCGGCUGGUGCAUGCCGUCGCGCCCCACAUGGCGUCGCGGCGGUCCGGGCGCGUGGUGAACGUUGGCAGCGUCGUCGGCACCGCCGCCACGCCGUGGGCCGGGGUCUACUGCGCGUCCAAGGCGGCGGUGCACGCCGCCACCGACGCGCUGCGGCUGGAGCUCGCGCCGUUCGGGGUGCACGUCGUGAAGGUGGUGCCCGGGGCGGUGCGGUCCGGCCUGGGGCACGCCAACACCGCGCAGCUCGCCGGAGCGAAGCAGGGACAGCAGCAGCAGUGGGGGAUGUACCGUAAGUUCACGGCGGCGAUCGAGGAGAGGGCGCGGGCGUCGCAGGGGGCGGGGGCGACGGAGGCGUCGGCGUUCGCGAGGCACGUGGCGGCGCGGGUUAUGCGGCCGAGGCCGCCGCGGGAGAUCGUGUACGGCAGCAUGACGGGGCUGUUCGCCGUGCUUGCCAUGUCGCCGGCAUGGGCGCGUGACGCCUUCUUCGCCAGGCGGUUCGGGCUCAAUAAGCUCUAA